GGUUGAACAGAACAUCAGCUGGAGCUCUUCAAUCAAACACCCACAACAAACAGGCCUGUGAUUGGUCAGUUAGGAGACCAACCAGCAGCUGCACUGGACUAAACAACCCUCAGAGAAAGGAAGAGUUGAAUUCAGCAGAAGGUUCUAAUUUUUAGAAGAUGAGGUGAGACCAACGGGUUAACGAGUCCUGAUGGGCCUGAAACCAGCGUUAGCAGAGCUUGUUUAGAGCUAACCCUAAGCCACGGUAACAGAUGCUACAUGGCUAAAUCACCAUGGUGACGGACGCUACACGGCUAAAUCACCAUGGUGACAGAUGCUACAUGGCUAAAUCACCAUGGUGACGGACGCUACACAGGUAAAUCACCAUGGUGACGGAUGCUACAUGGCUAAAUCACCAUGGUGACGGAUGCUACACAGGUAAAUCACCAUGGUGACAGAUGCUACACGGCUAAAUCACCAUGGUGACGGAUGCUACACAGGUAAAUCACCAUGGUGACGGAUGCUACAUGGCUAAAUCACCAUGGUGACGGAUGCUACACAGGUAAAUCACCAUGGUGACAGAUGCUACACGGCUAAAUCACCAUGGUGACGGAUGCUACACAGCUAAAUCACCAUGGUGACGGAUGCUACAUGGCUAAAUCACCAUGGUGACGGAUGCUACACAGGUAAAUCACCAUGGUGACAGAUGCUACACGGCUAAAUCACCAUGGUGACGGAUGCUACACAGCUAAAUCACCAUGGUGACGGAUGCUACAUGGCUAAAUCACCAUGGUGACGGAUGCUACACAGGUAAA